ACACCGGCAGCCCGAGUGGUGGCCACUAUUAUUGGGCCUAAAGCGUUCGUAGCCGGUCCGGUAAGUCCCUGUGGAAAUCCUCAGGCUCAACCUGAGGAAAUGCGGGGAUACUGCCGGACUCGGGGCCGGGAGACGCGGAGGGUACUCCAGGGGUAGCGGUGAAAUGCUGUAAUCCCUGGGGGACCACCAGUGGCGAAGGCGCUCCGCGAGAACGGGCCCGACGGUGAGGGACGAAAGCCAGGGGAGCGAACGGGAUUAGAAACCCUUGUAGUCC
rnacentral:rRNA from 1 species